GACGAACGCUGGCGGCGUGCCUAAUACAUGCAAGUCGAGCGAGACUCUUCGGAGUCUAGCGGCGGACGGGUGAGUAACACGUGGGCAACCCGCCUGUAAGACUGGGAUAACACCGGGAAACCGGUGCUAAUACCGGAUAAUCCUUUUCCUCUCAUGAGGAAAAGCUGAAAGUCGGUUUCGGCUGACACUUACAGAUGGGCCCGCGGCGCAUUAGCUAGUUGGUGAGGUAACGGCUCACCAAGGCGACGAUGCGUAGCCGACCUGAGAGGGUGAUCGGCCACACUGGGACUGAGACACGGCCCAGACUCCUACGGGAGGCAGCAGUAGGGAAUCUUCCACAAUGGACGAAAGUCUGAUGGAGCAACGCCGCGUGAGCGAUGAAGGCCCUCGGGUCGUAAAGCUCUGUUGUUAGGGAAGAACAAGUACCGGAGUAACUGCCGGUACCUUGACGGUACCUAACCAGAAAGCCACGGCUAACUACGUGCCAGCCGCCGCCGUAAAAC
rnacentral:rRNA from 1 species